CCCACUCCACCGUCACCGUAGUUUUGGUCACACCAACCACCUUCAGGUUGACCACUUCCAUCAGAGCUGAGAGAACAACACAAGGGAACCGGCAGGCAGCGACUGAGGAGGCCCACACUGCUGCUCGUAAACGGGGAACACGCUGAUCAGUAAAAGUGUUGCUACUCAUAACCACACAUCUCUGCUGGAGGGCUUUUACUGUGAAGAAGCUGCAGGAAGAGCUCGGUGUUUGCAGCUGCCUCAAACAGCAACCAAACACACAGCUGAUGCCCAGAAGCUGAUCAUAUGUGGCUGUCACGUGACAGAUUAUUAUGGCCAAGGGCCAGAGUCUUAACACAUUUUUACUUGUUUCCUCGUUUGGAUUUGUUUCCCCAUUAAAAAGCUUUGAAAGGCUCUCGUCCUGUGGUCUAGUUUUCUAAAGGUGAGGAAAUGAUUCAGCAGGUGAA